AGGUGUGGUGGUGCACGCCUGUAGUCCCAGCUACUCAGGAGGCUGAGGCAGGAGAAUCAUUUGAAUCCGGGAGGCGGAGACGGAGUCUCGCUCUGCUGCCCAGGCUGGAGUGCAGUGGCGCGAUCUUGGCUCACUGCAAGCCCCGCCGCCCGGGUUCACGCCAUUCUUCUUCUGCCUCAGCCUCCCGAGUAGCUGGGACUACAGGUGCCCGCCACAACACCUGGCUAAUUUUUUGCCUCGAAUUUUAGAAGCUCAAGGAAUCCUCCCACCUCAGCCUUCCAAGUAGCUGGGACUACAGG
rnacentral:lncRNA from 1 species